rnacentral:rRNA from 1 species
CCUACGGGUGGCAGCAGUGGGGGAUAUUGCACAAUGGGGGAAACCCUGAUGCAGCGACGCCGCGUGUGGGAAGACGGUCCUCUGGAUUGUAAACCACUGUCCCCAGGGACGAAGAUGACGGUACCGGGGGAGGAAGCGCCGGCUAACUACGUGCCAGCAGCCGCGGUAAUACGUAGGGAGCGAGCGUUGUCCGGAAUGACUGGGUGUAAAGGGAGCGUAGGCGGGACUGCAAGUUGGGUGUCAAAUCUACCGGCUCAACCGGUAGCCGCACUCAAAACUGCAGUUCUUUAGUGAAGUAGAGGCAGGCGGAAUUCCUAGUGUAGCGGUGAAAUGCGUAGAUAUUAGGAGGAACACCAGUGGCGAAGGCGGCCUGCUGGGCUUUUACUGACGCUGAGGCUCGAAAGUGUGGGGAGCAAACAGGAUUAGAUACCCGAGUAGUC